UAGUUUUUUGGAAUGUUUAGCUGUGGAGACUAUAAAAAAAAAAAAAAAAAAGAUUUAAAACUAUUCAGGCUUGUUGGUCAUUUUGUAGUGUAGAUGAAGAAAAAGAAUAAAAUACACCUGCAUCUUUUUUUAUGAGAUUACAGGCUGCUUUAAAAAAAAAAAAAAAAAUAUAUAUCAUCUGCUCAUCAAAUGUAUAAGACUGUAAAACAGUACAGGCUUCUGUUUGUUUGUUUGUUUAAAUACGAUUUAGUAUUGUUGUUUCCAGCACAAGAUGGCGGACUGAGCUAAACCGGAAGUUGACCAGCCACAGUGUUUGAGGAUAGAUGGCAUCUCCAUGCAACACCCUCUUCAAAUAAAACCAUUAGCACCCGACCUAUAAACUAUGAUCAGCUCAGCAAUCAGAUACUCAGCCGUCAAGCUUCUGAGCUCUCUCUUGCGCGGCGGACCCAGGCGAUGGGGGAACACCACGGACGUGUCGACCACCGUGCUGUGGAUAAGCUUUUUUUUUUUUUUUUUUUUUUGAAAAAGGCAAUAAAAGAAUUACACAGUUGUUGUGAUACGGUGUUUUCUCCCUUCUCUUACUUUUGUAGGCUAGAGAGCAGUGGUUUGAAUAAGUAUCCACCACCAAGACCAACUCCUCUCUUCCCCUCCCCCUUUUUUUGGUAAGGUUUGGUUACAAAAAUAUCCCAAACGUGAAUAUCAUUAAAUCCACCAAAGGUCAGAGAAGCAAGUUCAUGGGGUGUGAAUACUUAUGCAAGACACCGUACACACAGUAAUGGAUUUGAUUUCACUGUUACCAGAUGCACUAUGUCCAGAUAUUUCAUCCAAACUCCAAGUUGCUUAUGUUCCUGAUGUUUAUAAAGAAGUGUUUUGGAAGCCAGUUCUUUUCUGGUCUGCUCAAAUGAACAAGAAAUAAACCACAUGAGCAUAAAAAAACAACAACUCACUUUCAGA